rnacentral:lncRNA from 1 species
AAAGUUUAAGAUAAGGAAGACUCUCAAUCAUGCGUUCAAGUACAACCUCUGACAAAAACCAGUUUUCCAGGAGAUUAGACAAUAAAAACAACUGCUAUAGAGAAUUAAAAAUUGAAACUUUUAUUGAACAAAACCUCAGAACUCAAUGGGGAAUUACAAAAGAAUCAACCAAAAAGGUUUAGCCUUCCAUGCGGAGGCAAAACAAAAGAAUUACUAAGAAGAAAAUAA